rnacentral:rRNA from 1 species
CCUACGGGAGGCAGCAGUGGGGAAUAUUGGGCAAUGGGCUCAAGCCUGACCCAGCAAUGCCGCGUGACGGAAGAAGGCUUUCGGGUUUUACACUUCUUUGACAGGGGAAGAGCAGAAGACGGUACCCUGAAAACAAGCCACGGCUAACUACGUGCCAGCAGCCGCGGUAAUAAGGAGGGGGCAAGCUUUGUCCGGAUUUACUGGGUGGAAAGGGCGUGUAGCCGGGAAAGCAAGUCAGAUGUGAAAUCUGGAGGCUCAAACUCCAAGAUGCAUGUUAAACUGUUUUUCUUGAGUACUGGAGGGGCAGACGGAAUUCCGUGUGUAGCGGUGAAAUGCGUAGAUAUAAGGAGGAACACCAGGGGCGAAGGCGGUCUGCUGGACAGCAACUGACGGUGAGGCGCGAAAGCGUGGGGAGCAAACAGGAUUAGAGACCCCUGUAGUC